AUGCUCGCUUCAGGAGCACAUACACUAAAGUUGGAACAAUGCAGAGAUUAGCAUGGCCCCUGUGCAAGGAUGACAUGCCAAUUUGUGAAGCGUUCCCUAUUUUU